UACGAAGGGGGCUAGCGCUGCUCGGAAUCACUGGGCGUAAAGCGCACGUAGGCGGCUUUCUAAGUCAGGGGUGAAAUCCUGGAGCUCAACUCCAGAACUGCCUUUGAUACUGGAGAGCUUGAGUCCGGGAGAGGUGAGUGGAACUCCGAGUGUAGAGGUGAAAUUCGUAGAUAUUCGGAAGAACACCAGUGGCGAAGGCGGCUCACUGGCCCGGUACUGACGCUGAGGUGCGAAAGCGUGGGGAGCAAACAGG
rnacentral:rRNA from 1 species